rnacentral:rRNA from 1 species
AGUGAACGCUGGCGGUAGGCCUAACACAUGCAAGUCGAACGGCAGCACAGUAAGAGCUUGCUCUUACGGGUGGCGAGUGGCGGACGGGUGAGGAAUACAUCGGAAUCUACUUUUUCGUGGGGGAUAACGUAGGGAAACUUACGCUAAUACCGCAUACGACCUACGGGUGAAAGCAGGGGAUCUUCGGACCUUGCGCGAUUGAAUGAGCCGAUGUCGGAUUAGCUAGUUGGCGGGGUAAAGGCCCACCAAGGCGACGAUCCGUAGCUGGUCUGAGAGGAUGAUCAGCCACACUGGAACUGAGACACGGUCCACACUCCUGAGGGAGGCAGCAGUGGGGAGUAGUGGACAUUGGGCGCAAGCCGGAUCCAGCCAUACGGCGUGGGGGAAGAAGGCCUUCGGGUUGUAGAGCCCUUUUGUUGGGAAAGAAAAGCAGCAGGUUAAGACCCCACUGUUCUGACGGUACCCAAAGAAUAAGCACCGGCUAACUUCGUG